CACCCGGAAACCUAUGCCCCCACUAUGGAAGGACAUGGAUCAAGAAUUGGCCCACAGUCACUUACGGACUCACUGUUAAAACCAUGUUUAUGGAAGACAAUCUUACUCGGGGGAAUGAUCGCCAAAGGAGGAGGAGAGCAACAUUCAUCGGCAAGGCGCUUAAACGUGCAAGUUGAAAGAUCUCUGCCCCAAAGACCUUGCAAUCUAACCUUCUACAUGGGAGAUGCGUGUUCCUCCUCAGUGAAUUAAUUCCAGCUUUUGCAACAUCACUGCCUGGGGAGAAGCUUAUUUGAACGAGUCGUGGAUUGCUUUGGUUCAUCCGGUCUGCAAAAGGAGUUUCAAGUCCUAUUAGGCCUCUUGGUGACACUGUCGGUAGGCUGCAGGCUUGGAGAGGACAGGGCAGUCGUUGCCAUGGCGGCCUGUGACCUUGUGCAUACACUGUACCACACGGGACUGAAGGCCUUUCCCACAAGUUGAG